UACGUAGGGUGCAAGCGUUGUCCGGAAUUAUUGGGCGUAAAGAGCUUGUAGGCGGUUUGUCGCGUCUGCCGUGAAAUUUCGAGGCUCAACCUCGAACUUGCGGUGGGUACGGGCAGACUAGAGUGUGGUAGGGGAGACUGGAAUUCCUGGUGUAGCGGUGAAAUGCGCAGAUAUCAGGAGGAACACCGAUGGCGAAGGCAGGUCUCUGGGCAUUAACUGACGCUGAGGAGCGAAAGCAUGGGGAGCGAACAGG
rnacentral:rRNA from 1 species